UCCCAUCAGAACUCCGCAGUUAAGCGCGCUUGGGCUAGAGUAGUACUGGGUUGGGUGACCUCCCGGGAAGUCCUAGUGUUGCACCCUC
rnacentral:rRNA from 1 species